AGUGAACGCUGGCGGUAGGCCUAACACAUGCAAGUCGAACGGCAGCACAGUAAGAGCUUGCUCUUACGGGUGGCGAGUGGCGGACGGGUGAGGAAUACAUCGGAAUCUACUUUUUCGUGGGGGAUAACGUAGGGAAACUUACGCUAAUACCGCAUACGACCUACGGGUGAAAGCAGGGGAUCUUCGGACCUUGCGCGAUUGAAUGAGCCGAUGUCGGAUUAGCUAGUUGGCGGGGUAAAGGCCCACCAAGGCGACGAUCCGUAGCUGGUCUGAGAGGAUGAUCAGCCACACUGGAACUGAGCCACGGUCCAGACUCCUACGGGAGGCAGCAGUGGGGAAUAUUGGACAAUGGGCGCAAGCCUGAUCCAGCCAUACCGCGUGGGUGAAGAAGGCCUUCGGGUUGUAAAGCCCUUUUGUUGGGAAAGAAAAGCAGCAGGUUAAUACCCCGCUGUUCUGACGGUACCAAAAGAAUAAGCACCGGCUAACUUCGUG
rnacentral:rRNA from 1 species